UUGACGGUGUACGGCCAGCGUCCCGGUUCGGGGCGCAGGAUGUCCUCGCCGAAGUAGUCGCCGUCGGCCAGCAUCCCCAGUUUGGUGUCGUCGCCGUACUUGCCGGUGCCGAUCUUGCUGGCUUUGCCGUGCGCCAUCAGGAAUCCGGUGUCGAUGGUGUCCCCGACGGACACGAUGACCUGACCGGCCUCGAAGUCCCGCUGUUCCAGCACCCCGGCGAUCGCCUCGAGGGUGGGUUCGUCGUCGAAUCCACGCAGCAGCGGCAACUCCGACAGCGUCGGCGGGAUGACCUGGACCCGGUCCCCGACGUUGGAGAACUGGACCCGUCCGGUGCCCACGGCGUAGCUGAGCCGACGGUUCACCCGGAAGGUGCCGCCGUUGGUCUGCACCCAGGGCAGCAGCCGCAGCAACCAGCGCGAGGAGAUGCCCUGCAUCUGGGGCACGGUCUUGGUCGUCGUCGCCAGGUUGCGGGCCGCAGCGGUGCUGAGACUCAGCUG
rnacentral:antisense_RNA from 1 species